rnacentral:lncRNA from 1 species
AAGGGGCAGAAUGGAAUCCCUGUACAAUCUUAUCAACCUCAUGGUUACAGAGACUUUUUUAUUUUUACAAUAAUCCUGAGCGUCAUAUUUCAAUGUGGAUGAUGCCUUACCAGUGGGUUAGUUUGUGGCUAGAUUUCCUAUGAGACGAGAGCCUUAAAUACACCCUCGACAUUGCAAUCAAACCAGACUUUAUAGUUCAUUAUUGUUUUUAAAAUCAGUUAAAGGGAAAGCAAGCGCACUGCAGGCUCCGUUCCCGAUGCUACGCUCUCCACAGUGACGUAAGCCUUCGCAGAGAGAGAAGAAUAUUUUUAAUUUAUUUAUCUUGACAAUAUCAGGUGGUUCAGUCGCUGGUGUUCUACAUUAGCACAGCAAAGCAGCAAGGAUUCUGAAGGGACGAUUGUAGCCAGCAGAAGAGAUGCCUUUUCCUUAGCCCUGUAGAACGUCUCUGGAAACAAACCUGGAGCCCAGUGCUGUGCAGGGACUCCCUGGAGAAGCAAGGGCCUUGAAACUCGACAGAAGUGCCCCACUGCUCCACCAAGAGUUCUCUUCUCGCACACAUGCCCUUCUUACCGGGAGCCAGCCUGUGAUGUCUCUGUGCUGAACCCACUGUUUCCUUCUCCGGCAUCGCUAAGCUCUGGGCAUGUGGGUCGCAAGGAGAUGUUAAAAAUUCAGAAGUACAAUUUGAUCCAUUUGCACGCAACCUCCUGAAUGACUCUUAAUUACAUAAAAAUCUCUCUGCCCAAUGGCAAAAUGUAACAGAUGUUUGAACUGUUUACCCAGUUGUACUUGCCAUCUUUCUAAAGUAUAGAGCUAAGAAGGCCCUAACUCAAUACCCUGAGAAACAUGAGGCUCUUUUUCUGGUGUUACUGAGGUAGAUGGCAGUACCAGGGCAUUUUAUCCAAAGAGAAGUGGGUGGGACCAACUGAGUAGACCAGUGUAAUGUUUUGCACAUUUUCAAAGCAUUCAAUCCAGUAUUAGUCCUGCAACUCCUAUUGACAAGUGCUACAGCUGAAUCCCUGCGCACUUCCUUGAAAAUGUAGGGGAAAGUGUUGCUGGUCUCUAGACUCUUGAGGUACCAGAGUUCUCAUUUAAUACUGCAACUACAUACAUAAAGUUCAGCUUCCGAAGUUAAAUCCAAAUGGCAUUAAAACAUUACAAAAAAUUCUGCUGAGACAAACUGUCUUGCAAUAAAUGCUGAAUAUGCCAUCUGUGUUCUGAAUCA